rnacentral:tRNA from 1 species
GGGGAUAUGGCUCAGUGAUAAGAGCGCUUGCCAGGUAUGCAUGGAACCCUGGGUUCAAUCCCCAGUGCUGCCU